UCGCCGGGCGGCGCGGGCGGGGCCCCGGUGGCGCGCCCGCCUCCCCCUCCGGCUCGCGCGCGGGAAGCGGCGGCUCUUCCCCGGGACUCCGGGCGCUCCUUGCGCGGCCCUCGCCGGCUUUGCCUCCGGGGCCCUCUAGCCUUGUCGUCCGCCGGAGUUCUCCACCGACCGCUUUCCUCCAUUUGGGGACACUUCCCGCCGGCGACGCCCGAGCGCCCCCUGAGGGUCCGGCCGCCGGAGCUGCGGGGUCCCGGCCCUGCUCGCCGCCCCCGACCCUCGAGGCUCUCCCGCCGGCCUGCCUCCUCCCAGCCUCCGGCCUCGACCUGGGGGUGCGGACCUGGUCCCGUCUGCGCCCCCCAACACCCCCGGAAGGAGUGCGGUCCUCCGAGGCCCCGCCGCCGGCCAUGGCCUUCACUUUCGCCGCUUUCUGCUACAUGCUGUCCCUGGUGCUGUGCGCCGCGCUCAUCUUCUUCGCCAUCUGGCACAUAAUUGCCUUCGAUGAGUUAAGGACAGAUUUUAAGAGCCCCAUAGACCAGUGCAACCCUGUUCAUGCGAGGGAACGGCUGAGGAACAUUGAACGCAUCUGCUUCCUCCUGAGAAAGCUGGUGCUGCCCGAAUACUCCAUCCACAGCCUCUUCUGUAUCAUGUUCCUGUGUGCGCAGGAGUGGCUCACCCUGGGGCUGAACGUCCCCCUGCUUUUCUAUCACUUCUGGAGGUACUUUCACUGUCCGGCAGAUAGUUCCGAGCUGGCCUACGACCCGCCCGCGGUCAUGAACGCAGACACCCUGAGUUACUGUCAGAAGGAGGCCUGGUGCAAGCUGGCGUUCUACCUGCUGUCCUUCUUCUAUUACCUCUACUGGGCUCCCUCCACAGCUCGGCCAUUCGGGCCCAGCCUUGUGGCCCCUAGUCCACAUGUAAGCAUCCGGGGAACCAGAACGGGGACUCCGCGUGGCAGUCACGCUCCCGGAAGGGGCACGCUGGGUCAUUACAUGCGCGUGCUCACAAUUCUCCUGAUGGUCUGUAACCUCGUGCUAAUCAGCAUCCCAGUGCUGCCUCCAAACUGGUCUGUGGACGGUAGCCGGGUGAGGAAGAGGAGGGAGGGGGUGUUACCAAGGCCGCCUCAGGCAGGGCGCAGGCUGGGCCGGCCGCGGGGUGGCCACACUUAGCCGCAUUUACACACGAGCCCUGCUUCGAGCCAAGAGCUUGGUAUACAUCGCUCAGUCUGGAGGCCACAUGCCGUCACUGCCCACACGUUAGCAGUGAGACCACGUCCCCAGACGUCACAUGUUUUCCCGUGGUCACAGCUGCAGGUGCAUCUCAAGUCCGGUCCCAAACAUGGAGCUCCCAACUGCUGGCUGUCAUAGGAAAGCUCUAGAAAAGUCUUGAUGAAGUCUGGUCUUUCUUUCGCAUCAGAAUCAGGGUGAGGAGGGUGUGUUUCUUAAAGAUGCAGAUUCCUGGGUUUGGAUCUGCUGACUCAUGAUUUCGGGGCCGGGCAUCCCCCCAGGGGUAAGACCUGCCUGUCUCCCCAGAACGUCCCAGAGUCCAGAAGACCCAGAGGUCCUUGGGGUAUAACUUCCUCUGGGGUAAAUCAGCCCGGGGGGGCAGGGGAUUCAGAGUUAUUCUACCACAUUCUUCUUGGGGUGGAGGGUCGGUCCAGGCUCAGGGUGACCCCUCUCCCCUCCUUCCGUACAGAGGGUCCUGGGUCAUUGCCUGCUUCAACGUACAAGGAGCCCGAGGGUCUCUGAAGUGUCCCUGGAGAGUCCCAGGGUGCCCGACAGAUUUGCCUGGGUCUGACUCCAAAUCAGAACUUUCUAGCGACUAAAGUUUGUUCAGACUAGUUCCUGCCUUGGGAAGCUUCACAGCCUAACGGCUCGACAGCGGGGGCUAGCAUGAGUGAGGCUGCUCACGGGCGUGUGCCCAGCCUCUCUUGUUGUGGGGCUCCAGGUGCCCCUGCCACAGAGUCGGGCGUCCCGUGAGAAGCGGAUCGCUCAGGGCCCCGGAGCCAUGGAGGUCAAGGCGAGGAGGCACAUCCCUCUGCCAAAGCCCGCGCCCUCUCUGUGAUGACAGCAAGUGAUGUCACAGACACCCUUCACUUGCCCUCCUCGCUCUCGGUUACUUACUCACGCAGCAUUUAUUGAGCACCUCCUACAUGCCGGGCACCCUUCUUGGGAGACCGUGGUGAGCGUGUGGCUUGACGCCUGCCCUCGGGGGGCACAGGGUCAGAGCAAGGAGAGCCAACAGGAGGGCCAGGGAGAUACCCCGUAAGAGAUCACGUAGUUUGUGUGCCCCUCGGACCUCGGAAGAGUGAUGAUGGUCAUUGUGGUGGUGAUGGCGAGAUGUGAUGCGGCAUAAUCUGGGAGCCCCGGACGCAGCCGUCAUGUCAGCACGAGGCAGCUGCUGGGAAAGAAUCCGCUGCACCCCUACCCCGGGGACCGCCUUACAGUCUCAGGACAGGGGACGGCCGCCAUCAUAGCCGUGCGGCAUGAUCUACACUCUAGUGAGCUCUUAACCCGGGCCGCACAGGUCAUCAGAGACGGGGACGGGAGAGGCUCGAGGCGGAGUCCUCGCGACUGGCUGGCGGUUGGAGAAGGGCCCGGACUGGGGUGCGUGAGAGACACCUGCGGACGGCGGAUUCCUGCGGCAGCGGGGACCGAGGUCACGGAGCGUGGGGGUCGCUGCCCAGCCCGCACCCAGGUGGCGAUCCCGUCUGGGCCACGGGACCUCUCCUGAGCAAGGACUGUUGCUGCCUGAGUGACCCCGCCCCUCUGAGCACCCCUUGCGGUCCACAGUGAGCCCGGGACCGCGGGCGGGGGGGGGCACGGCUGGCAGGCCACAAACUGCCUGCCCAGGAACAGAAUGACCCAGGACCUGCUGAGGCCUCCAGGGUGUCGCGGGCUACCCGAGCCCUCUGUGUGUCCUCGGAGCCCUGCAGCGCCCUGCGCUUCCGCGGGAGGGUCUGCGGGGGAGCGGAUUCGCCAUUGGCUCCCACCGGCCCGAGCCCGCGGGUGGCCUGUUUUCGCGCUCUGCUUUGUGGGAGUCGGCCCGGCGACACUGGGAGCUGGGGCUCGGGCUGCUGGCCAUGAAUUAUGUCCAAAGUCACAGGGGAGGCGGGAAUCGGAGGGAAGAAUGAUUUUUUAAAGCAUUUUCAUGUUCAAAGUGUUCUUUGCCACCACAAACUGUGUUCUCCCGCUCUCGGUCCCAAACCGUCGCAGAAUCGACGAAGGCAAAUCGACCGGUCGACGUCGUCAACGCCUGUCUUCUCUUAAGGACCCCAAACAGCGGCACCCGGGAAACGCCCUGCACCUGCUCUGUGCUGUGUGCAUCGGGCAGCCAGGAGGCGAGACGGCGCAAUUACAGCCUCCUUUUGUGAUGCUACGUCAUUCGUUCUGUUAGUGCCACUCGAGGACUUUGGCUUAUUUAGAAUUUUCCCUCUGACGUCCUCUCCUGUUUGGGUAGGAGGUGUCCUUGGGGUUGUAAAUAAUGACAAGGCUGAGGUUUUUAUGUUUAAAUUGGGCACGAUGAUUUCUACCUUAUUCCCCACACUUCCCUCUCUUCUGUGUGACACACACACAGGCUAUUUAUACACGUGCGCGGCUCCCGUUGGAACCGGUGACUCAG